CGCCAGAUCUCGCGAGACAGGAUGGCGUGGCGUGGGCGUUGCCGAGGCAACGACGACCGUACCCACGCCCGUAUAAAAAGCCUCCGGGAGGGCUGCGGUGGGCACGAGGAGAAUGGGUUGGUGCGUGUGCGUUGCGCGGGUUGUUCAAACGUGGAGUGACUGUAAGCCAUCCAUUCACGUGUCGACGCAGCGAGGAGGCGGUGGCUCAAUGAAUUUUAACGUCUGAGAAGUACAUGGACUGUAUGUGAAGGCAGGGAACCUGCUCUGCUGCUGUCAUCAUCGACCUCUGAUAUCACUUGGAGCAAGACAACCAACGAUAGCAGUGAUCUGACUCUGGAGUGGUAAGAAAGAGAGCAAGGGGAUGGCAAGACCCCGCAAGAAGGGGAGAAGGUUCUCAUCCCAGGAUGAGCCGCUGGGGGUGGUUCAUGUGUCUGCAGCCAGCAUCUGUGGUCACCGAUAAAACACAGCCUCUCCUGCUGCCGAAGCUCUGAGGGAGAACCCGUUUCAGGGCCAAACCCCUUGCCUGGGCUGCCUGGAGGAUGGAGGAGGCAGUCCCUGAGCCUUUGCCCAAGUUUCUUCUGAAUUUAAAUGCCAACUCAAGCAGGAGCCAGUUCUCUGCCCAGUGCCAGAUCACUCACCAGCCAGAUGGCACCUUCUGAAGCUCUUCCACCUUCAUACAAGCUUCAAGGGAUGCAGCGAAGGUGUUUGCAGUGCACUUCUUCCUUAUAAACAGUCUGUGGGAGUCCAGCG
rnacentral:lncRNA from 1 species